rfam:Solanum tuberosum cultivar DM 1-3 516 R44 scf00048_79, whole genome shotgun sequence.
GAACAGUGAUGUUAACUUGCACAAUUAGUGAACGAUUGGGUCGUCACACACAUCUGAUUCAGGAUGAAACAAUGUGCAGCUGAGCUC